rnacentral:rRNA from 1 species
CCUUUUGUAUAAUGGGUCAGCGACUUAUAUUCUGUAGCAAGGUUAACCGAAUAGGGGAGCCGAAGGGAAACCGAGUCUUAACUGGGCGUUAAGUUGCAGGGUAUAGACCCGAAACCCGGUGAUCUAGCCAUGGGCAGGUUGAAGGUUGGGUAACACUAACUGGAGGACCGAACCGACUAAUGUUGAAAAAUUAGCGGAUGACUUGUGGCUGGGGGUGAAAGGCCAAUCAAACCGGGAGAUAGCUGGUUCUCCCCGAAAGCUAUUUAGGUAGCGCCUCGUGAAUUCAUCUCCGGGGGUAGAGCACUGUUUCGGCAAGGGGGUCAUCCCGACUUACCAACCCGAUGCAAACUGCGAAUACCGGAGAAUGUUAUCACGGGAGACACACGGCGGGUGCUAACGUCCGUCGUGAAGAGGGAAACAACCCAGACCGCCAGCUAAGGUCCCAAAGUCAUGGUUAAGUGGGAAACGAUGUGGGAAGGCCCAGACAGCCAGGAUGUUGGCUUAGAAGCAGCCAUCAUUUAAAGAAAGCGUAAUAGCUCACUGGUCGAGUCGGCCUGCGCGGAAGAUGUAACGGGGCUAAACCAUGCACCGAAGCUGCGGCAGCGACGCUUAUGCGUUGUUGGGUAGGGGAGCGUUCUGUAAGCCUGUGAAGGUGUGCUGUGAGGUAUGCUGGAGGUAUCAGAAGUGCGAAUGCUGACAUAAGUAACGAUAAAGCGGGUGAAAAGCCCGCUCGCCGGAAGACCAAGGGUUCCUGUCCAACGUUAAUCGGGGCAGGGUGAGUCGACCCCUAAGGCGAGGCCGAAAGGCGUAGUCGAUGGGAAACAGGUUAAUAUUCCUGUACUUGGUGUUACUGCGAAGGGGGGACGGAGAAGGCUAUGUUGGCCGGGCGACGGUUGUCCCGGUUUAAGCGUGUAGGCUGGUUUUCCAGGCAAAUCCGGAAAAUCAAGGCUGAGGCGUGAUGACGAGGCACUACGGUGCUGAAGCAACAAAUGCCCUGCUUCCAGGAAAAGCCUCUAAGCAUCAGGUAACAUCAAAUCGUACCCCAAACCGACACAGGUGGUCAGGUAGAGAAUACCAAGGCGCUUGAGAGAACUCGGGUGAAGGAACUAGGCAAAAUGGUGCCGUAACUUCGGGAGAAGGCACGCUGAUAUGUAGGUGAAGCGACUUGCUCGUGGAGCUGAAAUCAGUCGAAGAUACCAGCUGGCUGCAACUGUUUAUUAAAAACACAGCACUGUGCAAACACGAAAGUGGACGUAUACGGUGUGACGCCUGCCCGGUGC